rnacentral:sRNA from 1 species
UGGACAAUCAAGUUUGCUAUUUAUCCACAGAACAAAUACAAGACAGGCAGCGGUAGUGCAAACUUCUUCACAUUCAACUGCUCAUGCCUCUUGAUAGUGAAAUGGAGGGAUGACCAUGGGUCAUCUACAUGCCCAUUCAGUCUUUGGCCUCU